rnacentral:lncRNA from 1 species
CUCACUCCUAAUAAAAGUAUGCAAUAUUUUACAUACAUGUAAUAUUUUACAGUCUAUCAGUAGCUCCAACCUGAAACAUAAUCAUUUGCCCCUUUGGUUGUUUAAAGUAAAAAUUCUCUUCUUUCAGGGAUAGGAAAACUAAGAUGUUACAGGUAUAGCUGCUUGCAAAUAUUUGUGAGUUACAGAGCUGGGUGGCACUUCAUCCAAACUCCAAAGUUCAAGUCAACAGCCCAUUCAGUGGUAACUAUUUUAGUGAACAAAGAUCUCCUGACUAUGUCUAUUUGUCCAAAUUCUACUCUCUCAUUUCAUUUCUAUUUCCCCUCACCCCACACAACACAUACAUGACUCAAACCUCAUAAACAAUGCAUGAAAGUGCACACAUCUCACACAAAUACACAUAUCACAUAGUUUUCACAUACUACAGAAACACACACAUUUACCUCAUAAACAGAACACAUUAACAUAUUCACUCUCCACACACACGCACACCUCAAAGACACACAGAACACAGUAAAAUAUACACAUUUCACUCACACACUUCCAUAUAUACCUGUCACACCACACAUAUACGUACCUCACAGACACACAUAACACAUGCCACACACACUACACUCACAUAAAAACUCAUGCAUUUAACAUUCAUAUAUAUAAACACAAAUCACAUAUAAAUCUCACAUACAUGCAAUCAACUCACAGGGACACACAUGUAUGUUCACAUACAGGGAAGAAAAGUUGUGAAUGUGGUCCAUCAGGUUACAAGACAUUAGACUAUAUUCUCCAGGGAAGGACACAGACUGAGUUCUUGAGAGUCUUCUCAAAUAAGAAUUACAGAUGAAAAGAUACAAGCCCCAUCUGCUAUGCUUCUACUCUAUAAGGCCGGAAAUGAACAGUUACAUGGUAGAAAAUCAGGGUGCCAACACCAUACUUUACGCACAGGGGUUGGACUCUCCAGGUUCAAGCUCAACGUGUUGACCAUCAGUAAAGAAUUCACAUCAGAAGAGCCUUCUCACAGGUAGGUAUUAAUAGUUUAACAAGUAAUUAAUAGCUUAACAAGUAUUAAAAGCUUGGGGGCCCUUGGGUUCAUAUACCUGAUAGUGUGAGUCACAUCAAGAUAAUUUUAGGCAUAACUGAUAUAGUUUAUUGAAUUUUAAAGUGUGGAAUUAAAUAAUAAGGUUAUUUCCUUUCCAUUUUGCUUCAGUUAUUCUCAUUGCCCGAAGGAAGAAGAGUUAAUUGGCCCUUCAUAUAUCUAUAUAUUUACUAAAUUCAUUUUUGGGUUUUUUGGUACCGGAGAUCGAACUCGGGUCCUUGUGCUUGUGCAGCAGGUGGCAAAACCACUGAGCUAAAUCCCCAGCCCUAAAUUCAUUUCUUUAAUAAAAGAGAAACCAAACCUUAGGCUCAGAGCCAUUUGCUGGUCAUGGUAUUUAGGCAAACUUGAAUUAUUUUGCCUUUUAUAUUGUAUUUUUUCAAUUCUCUUCCAUGUUUGAUAAAAGACACUGUAUUACAAUUUAUAAUAAUGACACAAAACUUCAUCUUUUAGCCAUAAG